rnacentral:RNase_P_RNA from 1 species
GCAGUUUUAAUCUAAUGGAAGGGGGUGAACAAACGAAGCAUAACAUUGCUAUAUUACAUCCCGGGAAGGUCUGAGAUAAGAUCGUUAAACGUUCUAGACGGACGGUAUCGCAAUGAUACGUACGAGAACCAGAAAUAGCUUUACGUUCUCCAAAAUGCCAGGGACGCUUUUUUAACAGCAGAGGCGACUGGAAACGAAAAGUUGGAAUCUCGUACGAUCCGCUUUUUUAGUAUAAUCCACAAGCCUGGUAUAAUUCAUACCUGGAACUCAAUUCAGACUAAUCUGAUGCUGU